rnacentral:tRNA from 1 species
GGGUCGGUAGCUCAGUGGUAGAGCAGGAGACUCUUAAUCUCUUGGCCGUGGGUUCGAGUCCCACCCGACCCACCA